GACGAACGCUGGCGGCGUGCUUAACACAUGCAAGUCGAACGGAAAGGCCUGCAGCUUGCUGCGGGUACUCGAGUGGCGAACGGGUGAGUAACACGUGGGUGAUCUGCCUUGCACUUCGGGAUAAGCUUGGGAAACUGGGUCUAAUACCGGAUAGGACAGCAGUUUAGUGUCAGUUGUGGAAAGUUUUUUCGGUGCAAGAUGAGCUCGCGGCCUAUCAGCUUGUUGGUGGGGUAAUGGCCUACCAAGGCGUCGACGGGUAGCCGGCCUGAGAGGGUGUACGGCCACAUUGGGACUGAGAUACGGCCCAGACUCCUACGGGAGGCAGCAGUGGGGAAUAUUGCACAAUGGGCGGAAGCCUGAUGCAGCGACGCCGCGUGGGGGAUGAAGGCCUUCGGGUUGUAAACUCCUUUCGACAGGGACGAAGCUUUUGUGACGGUACCUGUAUAAGAAGCACCGGCUAACUACGUG
rnacentral:rRNA from 1 species